rnacentral:tRNA from 1 species
CGGGGUGUGGCUCAGCUUGGCUAGAGCGCUUGGUUCGGGACCAAGAGGUCGCAGGUUCAAAUCCUGUCACCCCGA